AGCUAACCCAAAAAAAAUAAUAAUAAUAAAAAAAAAAAAAAACCUGAAGCUAACCCUGGCUAACCCAAAGCUAAAGCGGAGGUGGGAGCCGAGCUAACGGAUGUAGCCACCUAGCUUCAACCCAACCGGAGCUAACUGGAACACCCAUCGACCUGAACCUCACACGGAGUUUAGGUGGAGGUUUUCUGCGCCUGUUCGUGAGAAGUACCUGUAUUAAAAAAGAUUUAAAUCGAUCUGUUUAAAUGUCACCAUGGCAGCCUGUGUGUCUCCAACAUCAGCUACACAAAGCAGCUAGUCCAUUUGGAUCAUUGGAGACAGCUAUGUGAGGCGUGGUGCCCAGAGAGCUGCAGAGACAACCUUGGCCUCCCUGACGUCUGUGUCUCCUGGUUCGGUUGGGGCGGACCAUCGACAUACAUACAUGUGCCGACACUUUGCGCCCUGUUUUAUAAAAUUUAGUGUUAAAAAUAAAUGUUUUUGCUCAA